AGAUGCAGUGUACCCGCGGCAAGACGGAAAGACCCCGUGAACCUUUACUAUAGCUUGACACUGAACAUUGAGCCUUGAUGUGUAGGAUAGGUGGGAGGCUUUGAAGUGUGGACGCCAGUCUGCAUGGAGCCGACCUUGAAAUACCACCCUUUAAUGUUUGAUGUUCUAACGUGGACCCGUGAUCCGGGUUGCGGACAGUGUCUGGUGGGUAGUUUGACUGGGGCGGUCUCCUCCUAAAGAGUAACGGAGGAGCACGAAGGUUGGCUAAUCCUGGUCGGACAUCAGGAGGUUAGUGCAAUGGCAUAAGCCAGCUUGACUGCGAGCGUGACGGCGCGAGCAGGUGCGAAAGCAGGUCAUAGUGAUCCGGUGGUUCUGAAUGGAAGGGCCAUCGCUCAACGGAUAAAAGGUACUCCGGGGAUAACAGGCUGAUACCGCCCAAGAGUUCAUAUCGACGGCGGUGUUUGGCACCUCGAUGUCGGCUCAUCACAUCCUGGGGCUGAAGUAGGUCCCAAGGGUAUGGCUGUUCGCCAUUUAAAGUGGUACGCGAGCUGGGUUUAGAACGUCGUGAGACAGUUCGGUCCCUAUCUGCCGUGGGCGCUGGAGAACUGAGGGGGGCUGCUCCUAGUACGAGAGGACCGGAGUGGACGCAUCACUGGUGUUCGGGUUGUCAUGCCAAUGGCACUGCCCGGUAGCUAAAUGCGGAAGAGAUAAGUGCUGAAAGCAUCUAAGCACGAAACUUGCCCCGA
rnacentral:rRNA from 1 species